rnacentral:rRNA from 1 species
AGCGAACGCUGGCGGCAGGCUUAACACAUGCAAGUCGAGCGCCCGGAGCAAUCCGGGAGCGGCAGACGGGGGAGUAACACGUGGGAACGUACCCUUUGGUUCGGAAUAAUCCAGGGAAACUUGGACUAAUACCGGAUAAGCCCUUACGGGGAAAGAUUUAUCGCCAAAGGAUCGGCCCGCGUCUGACUAGCUAGUUGGUGAGGUAGCGGCUCACCAAGGCGACGAUCAGUAGCUGGUCUGAGAGGAUGAUCAGCCUCACUGGGACUGAGACACGGCCCAGACUCCUACGGGAGGCAGCAGUGGGGAAUAUUGGACAAUGGGCGCAAGCCUGAUCCAGCCAUGCCGCGUGGGUGAUGAAGGCCUUAGGGUUGUAAAGCCCUUUCGGCGGGGAAGAUAAUGACGGUACCCGCAGAAGAAGCCCCGGCUAACUUCGUGCCAGCAGCCGCUGU